AGCGAACGCUGGCGGCAGGCCUAACACAUGCAAGUCGAACGAACCUUUCGGGGUUAGUGGCGGACGGGUGAGUAACACGUGGGAACGUGCCUUUAGGUUCGGAAUAACUCAGGGAAACUUGUGCUAAUACCGAGUGUGCCCUUCGGGGGAAAGAUUUAUCGCCUUUAGAGCGGCCCGCGUCUGAUUAGCUAGUUGGUUGAGGUAAUGGCUCACCAAGGCGACGAUCAGUAGCUGGUCUGAGAGGAUGAUCAGCCACAUUGGGACUGAGACACGGCCCAAACUCCUACGGGAGGCAGCAGUGGGGAAUCUUGCGCAAUGGGCGAAAGCCUGACGCAGCCAUGCCGCGUGAAUGAUGAAGGUCUUAGGAUUGUAAAAUUCUUUCACCGGGGACGAUAAUGACGGUACCCGGAGAAGAAGCCCCGGCGAACUGCGU
rnacentral:rRNA from 1 species